GCUACACGCUCAACACGCUCGUCUUACGUUGACAAAUCGCUCGUCGCACCCCAAUGACACGUUUGCACAUGCUAAUGGUUUUUAGGGGUAUCUUAUUUGGUCGCUGUUACACGUUUUUUGUGCGUUAGACACGCUUUUUGCGCGUUAGACACACGUUAAGUCAUGCGUUAGACACACGUUAAUCACACGCCAGAUGUGUCAUCCGCGUUUGAGAACGCUGAAAAAUAGAAAGACUGAAAUACUCAGAGGACGUUGACCAGAACGUCAUGGUGUGACGGAGCCUUUAGGAACUGAGGAACUGGGUGAUUCAUUCACUGAAUUUGUGAAUUGAGGAAUUGAAAAGUGAUUCGUAUCUGGGGAGGGUCUGAAGUGAAUUUAGCGAUUCGUUCACUGAACUGGUGUACUGAACAACUGAAGGGGGAAUCAUUCGCUUUUGAUUCGCCAAGAAUUGAUGUGCUAGUACAACAUGUGAUUUGUUUGCCAGAGGAAUGACAUACUACACAAUGAGUAUACUCAUGAGUGAUUUUAAGGGGAAGUCCUAACAUCCUCGCUGGGAUAGCUUUCACUAGCAGACAUUUCUUCAAGAUAAUGGCUAAUUUUGAGUCAGUCAAGCAAAAGAAAACCAGCACAUAUAUCUAAAAUAAGUUUAAAUUAAUCAUGGACAUCAUGGUGACACAGCUGUAGAGCAUCUGCCUCACAGUUCUGAGGACUGGGGUUCAAAUCCCAGUCCCGCCUCUGUGGGGUUUGCAUGUUCUCCCCCUGCAUGCAUGGAUUUUCUCUGGGCACUCUGGUUUCCUCCCACAUCCCAAAAACAUGCGCUUAAUUGGAGACUCUAAAUUGCCCAUCCGUGUGAUUGUGUGACUAUUGUCUGUCUCCAUGUGUUCUCAAUAUCUCAAUAUCUGUGUCUUUAAUGUGAUUAUCAAAUCCUUUUUAUUUCAUAAUAGUCAUAAUAAUAAUAAUAAUUCCUUAAACAUAUAGUAUUUCUCAAAACACAAAGACACUUUCCACUAUCCAGAUAACAAUAACAGUGAGUGAGUGAGCAGAAAACCACGGCGGGAGAUAUUGACAUCAAUGAUGCUACGCACCGAAAGCCUUGCUGGAAGUAAGCAGAUGCAGAAGGGUGCAAACCAACUCUUUCUAGGAUUUGGGAUAUUAUUUUGGCUCUACUGUGAUUGGCUGGUGACCAGUACAAGGUGUACCCAGCCUCUUGCCCAAAGGUAUACAGUAACUUGGAUAAGAUCAACCACAUCAAUGACCCAAUUGAGGGGAUACCCUGGACACCCUGCGGAGGAAACUCAUUUUGGCCGUUUGUAUCUGGGAUCUUGUUCUUUCGGUCACGACCCACAUCUGGUGCCCAUAGGUGAGAGUAGGAACUUAGAUCGACUGGUAAGUUGAGAGCUUCGCCUUUCGACUAUGGUCCCUUUUUACCACAACGGACUGAUACAAAGCCCGCAUCAAUGCAGAGACUGCACCAAUCCGCCAGUCAAUCUUGCGAUUCAUUCUGUCAUCCCUUGCGAAUAUGACCCCAAGAUAGGUGAACUCCUCCACUUGGGGUAGGAUCUCAUCGCUGACCUGGAAAAGGCAUGCCACCCUUUUCCGACUGAGGACAAUGGUCUCAGAUUAAGAGGUGCUGAUUUUCAUCCCAGCCGCUUUGCACUCAGCUGCGAACGCCUCCAGUGAGAGUUGGAAAACACGGCUUGAUUAAGCCAACAGAACCACAUUAUCUGCAAAAAGCAGAGAUGUAAUACUUGUGCCACCAGACUGGACUCCCUCAAUGCCUGGGCUGUUGCACAGGUGUGCUUUAGGCUGCCCACAAUAAAAAGCCACCCUGAAAUGUGCAAUUUUGCUUUAUAGUGUGUGUGCGUGGUGGUGGGUGGUUGGUUGGGGGGCAGAAAAGUAGUAAACGACCAGCAUUUGACUUGUGCAGUAAAACAAUUUCCUUCGCAUAGAGUUGGUCAGGUUGUUGAUUGUGGACAGCAUUUUCAGCAUUCCAAAUUGACGCUCACUCAUAACUUGUGACGUUGUCGGCAUUGUGUUGUGCGCUAAAACUGCACAUUUCAGAGUGACCUUUUAUUGUGGCCAUAUUAUGUCACACCUGUGCAAUAAUCAUGCUGUCAAAUCGUUGUGUCUUAAAAUUUCUCACCUGUAGGAUGGGAUGGACUUAUCUUGACAAAAGAGAAAUGCUCACUAACAGAUUUAGAUUUGAUUUAGAAUUUGUGAACAAUAUUUGAGGGAAAUGGGCUUUUGUGUUUGGAGAAAAAGUUUUAGAUCUUUGAGUCCAUCUCACAACAAAAGGGAGUAAAAACAAAAUUUUCACUUCCAUUUUUUUUCUCUGUGUAACAAUUCCAAAAUACUGCUACAAUAUGCAAAUUCGUGAAGACAACAAUAUUAAAGGCUUUGAAGCAAGCCAAAGGUAUGUAAAAUGGUUUUGAAACAAUUGAUCUAUUCCCACUUUCUACCAUCUAAUUUUAAAAAAUGAACAGUACUAUAUACAGUACACACAAUUAUAUAUUUCCCCACUUAGGGUAUCCAGACAGAAGCAGGCAUCACUCAGCACCUCACUGCAAGGCCAUUUGUACCACAGUACAGUAUGUACUUGUCCACAGCUAACCCAUAGUUUGCACUCUGUAAAUCAGAGAAAUGUGAGCCACAUCCUUGGGCUGACAGGAAAUUCUGUUUAAAUGACAUGUUUGAUAAAUGAGCAUGACAUCAUUCAUUAAAUAGAUCCUUUCCUUAUCUUCCUCCAUUCCCUUGUAAUCUCAACAGAAAGAUUAUUUUAGUCAAUCUUAAAUACAAUUAAUCUUUCUCUUCAACAUUCAUUUUUACACAUUUUAAAAGUAAAUGUCAAAACUAUCCAGUAGGCUCGUUCUGUCAAGCUUGUUCACAUAAGUGUUGCAUAGUCGCUGAAUGACUUCGAAGAAAUGAACAAAAGUACUAUAAAAUGGCAUGUUUGAACCAAAGUGCUACCAAGCAACAUGAGCGUUUCUGGGAUUGUAUAAACUCUGGGUGAAAGGCUUUACAGUAGUCUAAAACCAUUUAGGAUAGAAAACAUUUCCAAAUAAAUGCUUGAUAUAUGCAGAUUUCUACAUGAUGAGCUACAAAUUGAAAAGCAAUAAAAUCAUAUCUUUCAAAAAGAUUGCAUAAACCGAUUUUUUUUACUGCUUCACCGUCAUAAAGGUCAUGGGCAUGAUGGAGCCUAUCCCAGCUAUCUUCAGGCAGGCGGUGGGGUGCACCCUGAAUGGGUUGCCAUCCGAUCGCAGGACACAUAUAAUCAAAAAUCCAUUCGUACACCUAAAGGCAAUUUAGAGUCCCCAAUUAACCUAUCAUACAUGUUUUUGGAAUGUGGGAUGAAACCGGAGUGCUCGGAGAAAACCCACAUAGACACGGGGAGAACAUGCAAAAUCCAUACAGGUGGAGCUGCGAUUUGAACCCCAGUCCUCAGAACUGUGAGGCGGAUGCUCUCACUGGUCAGCUAACCCGUUGUCAUUACAUAAACCAUGUCCAUGCCCAUUUUCUAAGGCGCUUAUCCUCACAAGGGUCACGGGAGUGCCGGAGCCUAUACCAGCUAAUAUCGGGUGAAAGGCGGUCUACACCUUGAACUGGUUGCCAAUCAGUUGCAGGC